rnacentral:rRNA from 1 species
GACGAACGCUGGCGGCGUGCUUAACACAUGCAAGUCGAGCGGAAAGGCCCUUCGGGGUACUCGAGCGGCGAACGGGUGAGUAACACGUGGGCAACCUGCCCCCAACUCUGGGAUAAGCCUAGGGAAACUGGGUCUAAUACCGGAUAUGACCACUCAGGGCAUCCUGUGGUGGUGGUAAAGUUUUUCGGUUGGGGAUGGGCCCGCGGCCUAUCAGCUUGUUGGUGGGGUAGUGGCCCACCAAGGCGACGACGGGUAGCCGGCCUGAGAGGGCGACCGGCCACACUGGGACUGAGACACGGCCCAGACUCCUACGGGAGGCAGCAGUGGGGAAUAUUGCGCAAUGGGCGAAAGCCUGACGCAGCGACGCCGCGU